rnacentral:rRNA from 1 species
AACGAACGCUGGCGGCAGGCCUAACACAUGCAAGUCGAACGCUCCGCAAGGGGAGUGGCGCACGGGUGAGUAACACGUGGGAACCUACCUUCUGGUACGGAACAACCAAGGGAAACUUUGGCUAAGACCGUAUACGACCUCCGGGUGAAAGAUUGAUCGCCGGAAGAGGGGCCCGCGUCCGAUUAGGUAGUUGGUGAGGUAACGGCUCACCAAGCCUUCGAUCGGUAGCUGGUCUGAGAGGAUGACCAGCCACACUGGGACUGAGACACGGCCCAGACUCCUACGGGAGGCAGCAGUGGGGGAAUAUUGGACAAUGGGCGCAAGCCUGAUCCAGCCAUGCCGCGUGAGUGAUGAAGGCC